AACACACCCGUGCUCUAAUACAGUGGAGAGUUGGCUAAUGAAGCCCUCUUCACUGGAAAGAGAAAUGCUGCAAUUAAAGGUUUUGAAGUUUUUAUCACAGAGCAGAGGCUGGAGGGCAAAAUGUCUGCUCUUCAGAUAAAAAAAAAAUGGGAGAACCUUAAACAAAAAUAUAAAGUAAGAUUUUUUUUAUUAUUAUUGUAGUUCACCCUAAAAUGAGAAUUCUGUCAUGAUUGAAUCAUGCUCAUGUUUGGCCCUGUAAUGCGAUCAUUUAACAAAUCAUAUGUUUUACAAUGUAAUUGACUGUCUUGAUAUUCUGUUUUCAAAUAUUUGUAGGAUCUGAAAUGUCCACAGACUGGGGUGAGCACUGAGGAUGGGGGGGGGGUUACAGCAGCAUCCUGGAAAUGGUAUUCUGCCAUGGAUGAGGCAAUAGGGGGCAGACCCUCCAUCACACCACCCACCCUUAUUGCCUCAUCUGGCCCGGAUGUUGCUGUUACCUCUCCAUCCUCAGUGAGGUUAGAGCGUGAAAGAGUAGGGAGGAAAAGGAAAGAUUUUGAGGAGCUGAUCCGAGAGAUGGAGGAGAGGGAAGCUGAAAGAGAAAGAGAUGCCAUUGAAAGGGAGGAGAGGCGAUGGAGAGAGAUGGAGGAAAAGGAGGAAAGAAAAGAAAAAGAGCGACGAGAGCAUGAGAAGAGACUAGAACAGGAGGCCAGAGAAAGAGAAGAAAGAAGAGACAGAGAAGUGAGAGAGAGAGAAAGGGAGACAAAAGAGAGAGAGGAAAGAUUUCUUCAGCUGUUAGAAAUAAUUGCAAAAAAAAUAAAAGAAUCAAAUGAUACACACUCUCUUUCAUUUAUUUGUUAGUAAGUUGUGUCAUGCUGGUUUUGCAAGUUUUAUUACAAAACACUUAAUUCCCAGGGAUUUGCAUUAGCUAGAUUGUCAGUUGUAAAGUGCUUAAUAUGUGGCAUUGAGUAAUUAAUAUUUUGUAAGUGUUUUGUAUUUUGUAGCAGAUUCCAGAUGGUUUUUGAAACAAGUGCCGCACUGUAGAGAAAUGCCCACACACUUCAGACACCGGUAAAAUGUAUUUGUUUUAUUUUUGUGUAUUUAACUUUUAAACGGAUACAGAAUACAAAGCUUAAAACAAAA